rnacentral:rRNA from 1 species
AUACAAAUAAUGUAAUUUAAUUUUAUUAGUUAUAAUUAAUUUGUAUUUAAAAAUUUCAAAUUAAAUUUAUUAGGUGAAAUUUUAAAUUUAGUAAAGGUUUUUGAUUAGGUAAUUAAGUUAGUAAAUUUAGAUAAUUUAAAUGUAAAUUUUUUACUUAGCUAUUAAUAGAUAUAGUCUUUAAAAUUAAAGAAUUUGGGUAUUUUUAGUCUUUUCUAGAGGAACCUGUUCUAUAAUUGAUAAUCCACGAUUAAUUAGACUUAUCUUAUUAGUUUGUAUAUCGUCGUAGUUUGAAUGUUUUAUAAGAAUUUGAAUAUUCAAGAAUUUUUAUUUAAAAAGAAUUCAGAUCAAGGUGCAGUUUAUAGGUAAGAAGAAAUGGGUUGCAAUAAAUAAAUUUAUAUGGAUAAGUGAAUGAAAACAGCUUUGAAGGUGGAUUUGAAAGUAAUUUGAUGAAUAUAAUUUAAAUGAUUAAAGCUCUAAAAUAUGUACAUAUCGCCCGUCGCUUUCGUAUAAAAUGAAAUAAGUCGUAACAAAGUAGGCUUACUGGAAAGUG